AUUGAACGCUGGCGGCAUGCCUUACACAUGCAAGUCGAACGGUAACGGGCCUUCGGGUGCCGACGAGUGGCGAACGGGUGAGUAAUAUAUCGGAACGUACCUUUCAGUGGGGGAUAACGUAGCGAAAGUUACGCUAAUACCGCAUAUUCUGUGCGCAGGAAAGCAGGGGACCUUCGGGCCUUGCGCUGAUUGAGCGGCCGAUAUCAGAGUAGCUAGUUGGUGAGGUAAAGGCUCACCAAGGCGACGAUCUGUAGCGGGUCUGAGAGGAUGAUCCGCCACACUGGAACUGAGACACGGUCCAGACUCCUACGGGAGGCAGCAGUGGGGAAUUUUGGAAAAGGGGGGCAACCCUGAACCAGCCAUGCCGCGUGAGUGAAGAAGGCCUUCGGGUUGUAAAGCUCUUUCGGCCGGGAAGAAAUCGUAUGGGCUAAUACCCUGUGCGGAUGACGGUACCGGCAUAAGAAGCACCGGCUAACUACGUGCCAGCCGCCGCGGUAAAAC
rnacentral:rRNA from 1 species